CCCCAUUUGGCCCAGUGGUUUCGGCACCGGACUGUAGGGUUUUAACCCACACCGCGAGAUUGGGCAUUGCCCAGACGAUGACGCUGUGUCAGCAGAAAUCCGGCCUACGGCGGUUCGAAUCCGCCAGUGGGGA
rnacentral:tRNA from 1 species